rnacentral:tRNA from 2 species
GGGCCCGUGGCCUAGACUGGUUAUGGCGCCCGGCUGAUAACCGGGAGGUCGCGGGUUCGAGUCCCGCCGGGCCCACCA